AUUGAACGCUGGCGGCAGGCUUAACACAUGCAAGUCGAGCGGUAACAGAGAGAAGCUUGCUUCUCUGCUGACGAGCGGCGGACGGGUGAGUAAUGCCUAGGAAUCUGCCUAGUAGUGGGGGAUAACUUGCCGAAAGGUAAGCUAAUACCGCAUACGUCCUACGGGAGAAAGGAGGGGACCUUCGGGCCUUUCGCUAUUAGAUGAGCCUAGGUCGGAUUAGUUAGUUGGUGAGGUAAUGGCUCACCAAGACCGCGAGCCGUAACUGGUCUGAGAGGAUGAUCAGUCACACUGGAACUGAGACACGGUCCAGACUCCUACGGGAGGCAGCAGUGGGGAAUAUUGGGCAAUGGGGGGAACCCUGAUCCAGCCAUGCCGCGUGUGUGAAGAAGGUCUUAGGAUUGUAAAGCACUUUAAGUUGGGAGGAAGAGCAGUUAACUAAUAUUUGACUGUUUUGACGUUACCGACAGAAUAAGCACCGGCUAACUUCGUGCCAGCAGCCGCGGUAA
rnacentral:rRNA from 1 species